GGACGUAUUACCACUGCAGGUUUAUGGCUUAAAGUCUUAUUAUGAAAAACAGGGGCAUCUCUCAGAGGAUUUUUUAUUUAUUCGCAGCGAGGCAGGGAUUUAAUAGUUCGAACCUCUUUGAGUAUUUUGUUUAGCAGAGAAGUCUUUGUUUCUGAGUCACUCUGAAAGGAUGAAAAACUUAAAAUUUACAAGCACAAAACUCAAUAUGCAUUAUUGUACUUGAAAUAUGCUAAGAAAUAAGGAAAUGUGUCAGUAAUAGUGCGACAAUAGUUUUUCUUGGCACUUGUUAUGUGGAGUAAGUUUAUGUAAUCGUAUUUUUCCCCUCAUGAUUUGCUAUUUAAUUUCCCUCAUGUGUUCCUUCUCUUUGUCUCACAGUUUACUUCCUGAUUUGUUUUUAAUUCCUUGUUUUUUUCUAUAUUUUUUUUCCGCCUGGAUUAGUGUCUGAGUUCACCUGAUGUGAAUGAAUCCCCCUGCAGGCUGUCAUGUGUUUUUGUUGUUUCAUUGUGUGGUGCUUUUUGUUAUCUAAAUUAUUUAAAGCUAUUUGUUUUAACGUUCCUGUCUUGCCUAAAUUUUGGGAUCAUCUUUUGAAGAAUUGUGACAGGCAAGGUAACAGAGGUAAAACAGAGACUAGAAAGUCACAGCCAGAAUAUAUUUUUAAAAAAAUUUUUUAUGUUAAUAGAGUUCCUUAAAAUUUGGACAUAACAGCCGAAGUAUAGUUCUGAGUCAGCUUCCUAAAGAACAAAGAUAUUUGGGGUCACUUCUAGUUCUAUUGAAUCUUUAUGUUGAACAUGUUAAUUAAGUACAACAACAGAGAAAUAAAAAGAGACAAACAAACAAUGCAAAACAAACGAAAACAAAGCAACUACAACUACAAAUAACUUACAUGUUCAAAAAGGAGCAGGAAGACGUACACUGUAAAAACUGUGAUUGGGGUUAAUUAGAAUCUAAUAGGAGAGUAAUAGUAAUUAUUACUCAGUAAAAACGUGUAUGAGUAGUUUUAAUCAAAUCUAAGCAAAAUUCAACAAUUUUGAGAUGUUCAGUUAUUUAAAUUUACACAGUUUUGUUUGGGGUAAAUUCAGCAAUGGUUUGUUGAGUAGAUUUAAAAAAAAAAUGUUUGAGUACUAAAAAAAUUUAAGAAAUCUAAUAGAUUUAACUGAUGAAAGCAUUUUCAUUUUAAUCAUUGAACACUUCCGCCCAUAAUCCUUUGUGCCACGUGCAGAACACACGCGCUUCAUGAGUGG
ensembl:lncRNA